AUACGGAGGGUGCAAGCGUUAUGCGGAAUCACUGGGCGUAAAGGACGCGUAGGCGGGUUGGCAAGUCAGAUGUGAAAUCCUACAGCUUAACUGUAGAACUGCAUUUGAAACUGCUAACCUAGAGUAUGGGAGGGGGAGAUGGAAUUAGUGGUGUAGGGGUAAAAUCCGUAGAUAUCACUAGGAAUACCGAAAGCGAAGGCGAUCUCCUGGAACAUAACUGACGCUAAGGCGUGAAAGCGUGGGGAGCAAACAGGAGUAGAAACCCUAGUAGUCC
rnacentral:rRNA from 1 species